rnacentral:rRNA from 1 species
UUGCAGGGUAUAGACCCGAAACCCGGUGAUCUAGCCAUGGGCAGGUUGAAGGUUGGGUAACACUAACUGGAGGACCGAACCGACUAAUGUUGAAAAAUUAGCGGAUGACUUGUGGCUGGGGGUGAAAGGCCAAUCAAACCGGGAGAUAGCUGGUUCUCCCCGAAAGCUAUUUAGGUAGCGCCUCGUGAAUUCAUCUCCGGGGGUAGAGCACUGUUUCGGCAAGGGGGUCAUCCCGACUUACCAACCCGAUGCAAACUGCGAAUACCGGAGAAUGUUAUCACGGGAGACACACGGCGGGUGCUAACGUCCGUCGUGAAGAGGGAAACAACCCAGACCGCCAGCUAAGGUCCCAAAGUCAUGGUUAAGUGGGAAACGAUGUGGGAAGGCCCAGACAGCCAGGAUGUUGGCUUAGAAGCAGCCAUCAUUUAAAGAAAGCGUAAUAGCUCACUGGUCGAGUCGGCCUGCGCGGAAGAUGUAACGGGGCUAAACCAUGCACCGAAGCUGCGGCAGCGACACUGUGUGUUGUUGGGUAGGGGAGCGUUCUGUAAGCCUGUGAAGGUGUGCUGUGAGGUAUGCUGGAGGUAUCAGAAGUGCGAAUGCUGACAUAAGUAACGAUAAAGCGGGUGAAAAGCCCGCUCGCCGGAAGACCAAGGGUUCCUGUCCAACGUUAAUCGGGG